GGCUGGUCCGAAGGUAGUGUGAGUUAUCUCACUUGGUUGUUCACAGUCAGUUAUGGACUGAACUCCUUGUUCUACUACUUUCCCCCUUUCUCACUACUGCACUUGACUAGUCUUUA
rnacentral:Y_RNA from 1 species